rnacentral:rRNA from 1 species
CUGUUCAAUCUCAAACACUCCAGCCUUGGAGUAACGGUUGAGAGGGCAUUUUGAGCUCUGAAGAACAUGUUUAAGAUCCUGGAUCAGAAGUCAUUCCACCCUUACCCUACCCCGGUCAAGCUUGUUCUUGCAUGUUGCAUUCUGCAUAAUUGGAUCCCGCAAUUGGGAAUUGAUGAACUUGUGCCCGAGGAGGAAGAGGUGACGCCUGACGAUCUUGACCUCGGUGGCUAUGGUGUUGAGGCAUUUGACAAUGAAGCCUUGAAGAACAAGAGGCUAGAGUGGGCACAGGCAAUGUGGGAUAACAGAAGUCAGACAAGGAUCUUAAAAAGAAGAAGAAGAAGAGCAAGAGCAGCAGCAGAAGAGGAAGACGAAGAGGAACGACAUCUACAGGAGAGGUAA